CCUACGGGAGGCAGCAGUGAGGAAUAUUGGGCAAUGGACGCAAGUCUGACCCAGCGAUGCCGCGUGAAGGAUGAAGGCCUUAGGGUUGUAAACUUCUGUCAGCAGGGAAGAUAAUGACGGUACCUGCAGAGGAAGCCCCGGCUAACUCCGUGCCAGCAGCCGCGGUAAUACGGAGGGGGCAAACGUUACUCGGAUUUACUGGGCGUAAAGGGUCCGUAGGCGGUUCUUUAAGUUAGAUGUGAAAGCUUGAAGCUUAACUUCAAAAUUGCAUCUAAAACUGGAGAACUAGGUUCUUGGAGAGGUUGAUGGAAUUACCGGUGUAGCGGUGAAAUGCGUAGAUAUCGGUAGGAACACCAGUGGCGAAAGCGAUCAACUGGCCAAGUAACGACGCUGAGGGACGAAAGCGUGGGUAGCAAACAGGAUUAGAUACCCUAGUAGUC
rnacentral:rRNA from 1 species